rnacentral:rRNA from 1 species
AGCUCCAAUAGCGUAUAUUAAUGUUGUUGCAGUUAAAAAGCUCGUAGUUGGAUUUCUGACUGGACGAACCGGCCUAAGUUCUAUGAACUAGUGCUGUGUGUUCUGUCUCGUCAUCCUUGGGCGGAAAGUAUUGGCUAUUCAUUUAGCUGGUUCGGGAAACCCAUCGUUUACUGUGAAAAAAUUAGAGUGUUUAAAGCAGGCAAUCGCCUUGAAUACAUUAGCAUGGAAUAAUAAGAUAGGACUUUGGUACUAUUUUGUUGGUUUGCAUACCGAAGUAAUGAUUAACAGGGACAGUUGGGGGUAUUCGUAUUUAAUUGUCAGAGGUGAAAUUCUUGGAUUUAUGAAAGACGAACUACUGCGAAAGCAUUUACCAAGGAUGUUUUCAUUAAUCAAGAACGAA